rnacentral:rRNA from 1 species
AACGAACGCUGGCGGCAUGCCUAACACAUGCAAGUCGAACGAAGGCUUCGGCCUUAGUGGCGCACGGGUGCGUAACGCGUGGGAAUCUGCCCUUUGGUUCGGAAUAACAGCUGGAAACGGCUGCUAAUACCGGAUGAUGACUAAAGUCCAAAGAUUUAUCGCCAGAGGAUGAGCCCGCGUUGGAUUAGGUAGUUGGUGGGGUAAAGGCCUACCAAGCCGACGAUCCAUAGCUGGUCUGAGAGGAUGAUCAGCCACACUGGGACUGAGACACGGCCCAGACUCCUACGGGAGGCAGCAGUGGGGAAUAUUGGACAAUGGGCGCAAGCCUGAUCCAGCAAUGCCGCGUGAGUGAUGAAGGCACUAGGGUUGUAAAGCUCUUUUACCCGGGAAGAUAAUGACUGUACCGGGAGAAUAAGCCCCGGCUAACUCCGUG